GGGUUGUGAGGUUAAGCGACUAAGCGUACACGGUGGAUGCCCUGGCAGUCAGAGGCGAUGAAGGACGUGCUAAUCUGCGAAAAGCGUCGGUAAGGUGAUAUGAACCGUUACAGCCGGCGAUGUCCGAAUGGGGAAACCCAGUGCAAUUCGUUGCACUAUCGUUAACUGAAUACAUAGGUUAACGAGGCGAACCGGGGGAACUGAAACAUCUAAGUACCCCGAGGAAAAGAAAUCAACCGAGAUUCCCCCAGUAGCGGCGAGCGAACGGGGAGCAGCCCAGAGUCUGAAUCAGCUUGUGUGUUAGUGGAACGGUCUGGAAAGUCCGACGGUACAGGGUGAUAGUCCCGUACACCAAAAUGCACAGGCUGUGAACUCGAAGAGUAGGGCGGGACACGUGGUAUCCUGUCUGAAUAUGGGGGGACCAUCCUCCAAGGCUAAAUACUCCUGACUGACCGAUAGUGAACCAGUACCGUGAGGGAAAGGCGAAAAGAACCCCGGCGAGGGGAGUGAAAAAGAACCUGAAACCGUGUACGUACAAGCAGUGGGAGCACCUUCGGGUGUGACUGCGUACCUUUUGUAUAAUGGGUCAGCGACUUAUAUUCUGUAGCAAGGUUAACCGUAUAGGGGAGCCGCAGGGAAACCGAGUCUUAACUGGGCGUUAAGUUGCAGGGUAUAGACCCGAAACCCGGUGAUCUAGCCAUGGGCAGGUUGAAGGUUGGGUAACACUAACUGGAGGACCGAACCGACUAAUGUUGAAAAAUUAGCGGAUGACUUGUGGCUGGGGGUGAAAGGCCAAUCAAACCGGGAGAUAGCUGGUUCUCCCCGAAAGCUAUUUAGGUAGCGCCUCGUGAACUCAUCUUCGGGGGUAGAGCACUGUUUCGGCUAGGGGGUCAUCCCGACUUACCAACCCGAUGCAAACUACGAAUACCGAAGAAUGUUAUCACGGGAGACACACGGCGGGUGCUAACGUCCGUCGUGAAGAGGGAAACAACCCAGACCGCCAGCUAAGGUCCCAAAGUCAUGGUUAAGUGGGAAACGAUGUGGGAAGGCACAGACAGCCAGGAUGUUGGCUUAGAAGCAGCCAUCAUUUAAAGAAAGCGUAAUAGCUCACUGGUCGAGUCGGCCUGCGCGGAAGAUGUAACGGGGCUAAACCAUGCACCGAAGCUGCGGCAGCGACACUAUGUGUUGUUGGGUAGGGGAGCGUUCUGUAAGCCUGCGAAGGUGUGCUGUGAGGCAUGCUGGAGGUAUCAGAAGUGCGAAUGCUGACAUAAGUAACGAUAAAGCGGGUGAAAAGCCCGCUCGCCGGAAGACCAAGGGUUCCUGUCCAACGUUAAUCGGGGCAGGGUGAGUCGACCCCUAAGGCGAGGCCGAAAGGCGUAGUCGAUGGGAAACAGGUUAAUAUUCCUGUACUUGGUGUUACUGCGAAGGGGGGACGGAGAAGGCUAUGUUAGCCGGGCGACGGUUGUCCCGGUUUAAGCAUGUAGGCUGGUUAUCCAGGCAAAUCCGGAUAAUCAAGGCUGAGGUGUGAUGACGAGGCACUACGGUGCUGAAGUAACAAAUGCCCUGCUUCCAGGAAAAGCCUCUAAGCAUCAGGUAACAUCAAAUCGUACCCCAAACCGACACAGGUGGUCAGGUAGAGAAUACCAAGGCGCUUGAGAGAACUCGGGUGAAGGAACUAGGCAAAAUGGUGCCGUAACUUCGGGAGAAGGCACGCUGGUGUGUAGGUGAAGCCCCUGCGGGUGGAGCUGAGACCAGUCGAAGAUACCAGCUGGCUGCAACUGUUUAUUAAAAACACAGCACUGUGCAAACACGAAAGUGGACGUAUACGGUGUGACGCCUGCCCGGUGCCGGAAGGUUAAUUGAUGGGGUUAUCCGUAAGGAGAAGCUCUUGAUCGAAGCCCCGGUAAACGGCGGCCGUAACUAUAACGGUCCUAAGGUAGCGAAAUUCCUUGUCGGGUAAGUUCCGACCUGCACGAAUGGCGUAAUGAUGGCCAGGCUGUCUCCACCCGAGACUCAGUGAAAUUGAACUCGCUGUGAAGAUGCAGUGUACCCGCGGCAAGACGGAAAGACCCCGUGAACCUUUACUAUAGCUUGACACUGAACAUUGAGCCUUGAUGUGUAGGAUAGGUGGGAGGCUUUGAAGCGUGGACGCCAGUCUGCGUGGAGCCAACCUUGAAAUACCACCCUUUAAUGUUUGAUGUUCUAACGUUGGCCCCUUACCGGGGUUGCGGACAGUGUCUGGUGGGUAGUUUGACUGGGGCGGUCUCCUCCCAAAGCGUAACGGAGGAGCACGAAGGUUAGCUAAUCCUGGUCGGACAUCAGGAGGUUAGUGCAAUGGCAUAAGCUAGCUUGACUGCGAGCGUGACGGCGCGAGCAGGUGCGAAAGCAGGUCAUAGUGAUCCGGUGGUUCUGAAUGGAAGGGCCAUCGCUCAACGGAUAAAAGGUACUCCGGGGAUAACAGGCUGAUACCGCCCAAGAGUUCAUAUCGACGGCGGUGUUUGGCACCUCGAUGUCGGCUCAUCACAUCCUGGGGCUGAAGUAGGUCCCAAGGGUAUGGCUGUUCGCCAUUUAAAGUGGUACGCGAGCUGGGUUUAGAACGUCGUGAGACAGUUCGGUCCCUAUCUGCCGUGGGCGCUGGAGAAUUGAGGGGGGCUGCUCCUAGUACGAGAGGACCGGAGUGGACGCAUCACUGGUGUUCGGGUUGUCAUGCCAAUGGCACUGCCCGGUAGCUAAAUGCGGAAGAGAUAAGUGCUGAAAGCAUCUAAGCACGAAACUUGCCCCGAGAUGAGUUCUCCCUGAGACUUUAAGUCUCCUGAAGGAACGUUAAAGACGAUGACGUUGAUAGGCCGGGUGUGUAAGCGCAGCGAUGCGUUGAGCUAACCGGUACUAAUGAACCGUGAGGCUUAACCUUACAACGCCGAAG
rnacentral:rRNA from 1 species